rnacentral:rRNA from 1 species
UACGUAGGUGACAAGCGUUGUCCGGAAUUAUUGGGCGUAAAGGGAGCGCAGGCGGUUGGAAUAGUCUGAUGUGAAAGCCCACGGCUUAACCGUGGAAUUGCAUUGGAAACUGUCCAACUUGAAUGCAGAAGAGGAAAGCGGAAUUCCAUGUGUAGCGGUGAAAUGCGUAGAUAUAUGGAGGAACACCAGUGGCGAAGGCGGCUUUCUGGUCUGUGAUUGACGCUGAGGCUCGAAAGCGUGGGGAGCGAACAGGAUUAGAUACCCCCGUAGU